GCGGCCGCCGGCAGCGCUAUCGCCGAGCAGAGGCUGCUGCAGCUGGAGGAUGAGAAGGCGGCGCUGACGGCACAGGCCCGCCACUACCAGGCUGUGCUGGCUGAGACGGAGUCCAUGCUGAAGAGGCUGGAGCAGUCUGUGGAGGAGGAGGACCGAGGCUGGCGACUCCAGCUAGCCGAGAAGCAGAAGGAGCUGGACCGGCUGCGCGCCUCGCUGGCCACCAACAGCAGCUAAUGGCGACGAGGCGGUCACCAAUGACGCCACGCGAAGCGGCCGGCCGCACUGCACCGCGUGGCGUACCGAUUCCACUGAACUGUGUGUGCGUGUGACACCGCUGUGGGCCGCCUGUCCGCCGCCCGGCCGCGCCGCCGCAGCACGCUGGCCGCCGGCCGGGCCGGGCAGGCCUGACCGGCCACCAUUAUGUUAUCUCGAGUGUGGCUGGCUGUCAUGUCGCCGCUGACGCCGCCGACGACAGAAGCGUGGGCUCGGCGGCUGCGCGCACACUGUCCGGGUGGGCCUCGGGCCGGAGCAAUACCGCGGCGGCCGCGCCGGUCGGACCGCGCAGGCCACGCGCGCUGAGUGGGGCUAUACAUAGAGCCGGGGGCAGCGUGGCCCGGACGUCGGGCCGCCGGACGCUGCCGCACGCUUUUGUUCACACCCGCUCGGCCGGGCGGGCCGAUGACUGAGCGCGUUACGUGCGUUAGAGUUCGAAGGCUGCCUUGCGCCUUGCUUUAUGUGGUUGGCAUUGCGAGAAAAUCCGAACGGUGCGUUGUUUGGUCACCCCAUAUCCUAAUAUACUUAAUUUUGGAGAGUGA